rnacentral:tRNA from 1 species
AGGUAGAGUGGCCGACAGUUAGGUGGCAGGCUGUAGUCCUGCAAACAUGGGUUUAAGUNUUAUUUCUAUC